UACAGAGGGGGCAAGCGUUGUUCGGAAUUACUGGGCGUAAAGGGCGCGUAGGCGGCCUUCUAAGUCGAACGUGAAAUCCCCGGGCUCAACCCGGGAACUGCGUCCGAGACUGGAAGGCUUGAAUCCGGGAGAGGGAUGUGGAAUUCCAGGUGUAGCGGUGAAAUGCGUAGAUAUCUGGAGGAACAUCGGUGGCGAAGGCGGCAUCCUGGACCGGUAUUGACGCGUGAGA
rnacentral:rRNA from 1 species